GGAAUUCAAUGUGUGGCUGGUUUUGAUUAUCGAGCAAUUUACUGUUGUACUUAGUGCAGUUUUGCUUUUGGUUUAUCUUUUCUUUAAUUCUAGUUUCAAGAAGUGCAUUUAACUUUUGCAAUCGGAUAAUGUGCAUUUCUGUUUAGAUGUCUCAUAUUAACUUGCAUUUGUCAUUUUUUGUUCCCAAGUUCUUUUGCCUUGCUUGUCCAGAAUUUGCCUCCUUUGCUCUUGAGGUUCAUUGUAUUGCAGAAGUAGUGGAUUAUUCACAUUGGACCACAAAUUUGACUUGGGAUUAUAUAAAUCUGUUGCUGAAAAAGUGUGGAAAAGAAAAGAGGAAUUUGGAAAUAUGGACAAAGAAUAAGGAAAUAAUUGACAAGGGUGUGUGAGAAUUUGGUGAAAAUUUCUCAUUUCAAAAUGCAUUAUAAAUUUUUUAUUGUAUUCUGUUCAAUUAAGUAAGUGUUAUACUUUUAAGAUGUUAAGCAAUGGCAUCUGUUUGAUUCAUUAAGAUUGGAGGAAAAAUUAUGCUUUAGGCCUCUUGAAUGUCAUUUGCCAUUUAUAGAGUGAUUAUAUUUUUUGAAAAUUUUGGAAUAAAUUGCAUACAUCAUAAAUUUGGCAAAGAGUCAAAUAGUUUGUUGGCUUAAUAUGCUCUGCUUUAUACUUUUGUCAAAUAUCUAAUAAUUC
rnacentral:misc_RNA from 1 species